CCUACGGGUGGCAGCAGUGAGGAAUAUUGGUCAAUGGACGAGAGUCUGAACCAGCCAAGUAGCGUGAAGGAUGACUGCCCUAUGGGUUGUAAACUUCUUUUAUAUGGGAAUAAAAUGUUCCACGUGUGGGAUUUUGUCUGUACCAUAUGAAUAAGGAUCGGCUAACUCCGUGCCAGCAGCCGCGGUAAUACGGAGGAUCCGAGCGUUAUCCGUAUUUAUUGGGUUUAAAGGGAGCGUAGGUGGAUUGUUAAGUCAGUUGUGAAAGUUUGCGGCUCAACCGUAAAAUUGCAGUUGAAACUGGCAGUCUUGAGUACAGUAGAGGUGGGCGGAAUUCGUGGUGUAGCGGUGAAAUGCUUAGAUAUCACGAAGAACUCCGAUUGCGAAGGCAGUUCACUGGACUGCAACUGACACUGAGGCUCGAAAGUGUGGGUAUCAAACAGGAUUAGAUACCCCAGUAGUC
rnacentral:rRNA from 1 species